rnacentral:rRNA from 1 species
UACGGGGGGGGCGAGCGUUGUUCGGAAUUACUGGGCGUAAAGGGUGCGUAGGCGGUCGCGCAGGUCGGGUGUGAAAUCCCAGGGCUCAACCCUGGAACUGCAUUCGAUACUGCGUGGCUCGGGUACUGGAGAGGAGACUGGAAUUUACGGUGUAGCAGUGAAAUGCGUAGAUAUCGUAAGGAAGACCAGUGGCGAAGGCGAGUCUCUGGACAGUUACCGACGCUGAGGCACGAAGGCCAGGGGAGCAAACGGG